UACGGAGGGUGCAAGCGUUAAUCGGAAUUACUGGGCGUAAAGCGCGCGUAGGCGGUUUUUUAAGUCGGAUGUGAAAGCCCCGGGCUCAACCUGGGAACUGCAUCCGAUACUGGAAGACUAGAAUGCGGGAGAGGGAGGUAGAAUUCCAUGUGUAGCAGUGAAAUGCGUAGAUAUAUGGAGGAAUACCAGCGGCGAAGGCGGCCUCCUGGCUCGACAUUGACGCUGAGGUGCGAAAGCGUGGGGAGCAAACGGG
rnacentral:rRNA from 1 species